rnacentral:rRNA from 1 species
AUUGAACGCUGGCGGCGUGCCUAACACAUGCAAGUCGAGCGGUAACAGGUGUAGCAAUACAUGCUGACGAGCGGCGAACGGGUGAGUAAUGCUUUGGAAUCUUCCCAGUAGUGGGGAAUAACCAGUCGAAAGAUUGGCUAAUACCGCAUACGUCUGUAAAGGGAAAGCGGGGGCUCGUAAGACCUCGCGCUAUUGGAUGAGCCAAAGUCGGAUUAGCUAGUUGGUGGGGUAAUGGCCUACCAAGGCGACAAUCCGUAGCUGGUCUGAGAGGACGACCAGCCACACCGGAACUGAGACACGGUCCGGACUCCUACGGGAGGCAGCAGUGGGGAAUAUUGGACAAUGGGGGAAACCCUGAUCCAGCGACGCCGCGUGUGUGAAGAAGGCCUGCGGGUUGUAAAGCACUUUUAGUGGGGACAAAAAGCUACGGAUUAAUACUCUGUGGUCUUGAUUUAACCCAAAGAAAAAGCACCGGCUAACUCUGUGCCAGCAGCCGCGGUAAUACAGAGGGUGCGAGCGUUAAUGGGAAUUACUGGGCGUAAAGCGCGCGUAGACGGUUUUGUAAGUCAGAUGUGAAAUCCCUGGGCUCAACCUGGGAACUGCAUUUGAAACUGCAU